rnacentral:rRNA from 1 species
UACGUAGGGCGCGAGCGUUAAUCGGAAUUACUGGGCGUAAAGCGUGCGCAGACGGUUGCGUAAGUCAGAUGUGAAAGCCCCGGGCUCAACCUGGGAAUUGCAUUUGAGACUGCGUAGCUAGGGUGCGGAAGAGGGAAGCGGAAUUUCCGGUGUAGCGGUGAAAUGCGUAGAUAUCGGAAGGAACACCAGUGGCGAAAGCGGCUUCCUGGUCCAGCACCGACGUUCAGGCACGAAAGCGUGGGGAGCAAACAGG